UGGGGAAUUUUGGACAAUGGGCGCAAGCCUGAUCCAGCAAUGCCGCGUGCAGGAAGAAGGCCUUCGGGUUGUAAACUGCUUUUGUACGGAACGAAACGGUCUGGAUUAAUACCCUGGGCUAAUGAUGGUACCGUAAGAAUAAGCACCGGCUAACUACGUGCCAGCAGCCGCGGUAAUACGUAGGGUGCAAGCGUUAAUCGGAAUUACUGGGCGUAAAGCGUGCGCAGGCGGUUUUGUAAGACAGGCGUGAAAUCCCCGGGCUCAACGUGGGAAUUGCGCUUGUGACUGCAAGGCUGGAGUGCGGCAGAGGGGGAUGGAAUUCCGCGUGUAGCAGUGAAAUGCGUAGAUAUGCGGAGGAACACCGAUGGCGAAGGCAAUCCCCUGGGCCUGCACUGACGCUCAUGCACGAAAGCGUGGGGAGCAAACAGGAUUGGA
rnacentral:rRNA from 1 species